UUUUAGUCACUAACAAGACUACAAGAUCGCGCCACUCAUCCUACACUCAUCUCCAUUCAUACUUGGCUUAAAAUACCUACUUUGUAUGGUCGCCAAGUAAUAAGAAAGAAAGUAUUAAAGAAAUAUAUUCAUUGGAAUGAGUGUAGGAUGUAAACUUAAGUGCUGUAAAAUAUUCUAGAGAGGUUUGUAUUUGGUGUAAGACUAGUCUUGGAUUAUAUCAUUCAUUGCUGAUGACUUCAAUGUUAAUUUUAUAGAUGAUCCUGGAGCAAAGGCUGUAAUUUGACCUGAGCCCAAAUUGGUCUCUAGUUUAAAUACCCUAUUGUCUUGAACCAAUAAGUUAAGAGGACUAACCUUUCUGGACGACAUUGCCAUCGACAUCACUGCAGAUGAGAGAUAUAGAGAGACCAGAGUUGUGUACCCUGGAGGCUAUUACCAUACUGCCGUGAUAACUAAGUUAUUCAAAGUUCAAAUCGGUACUUUGAGCUGUAGCCUACCAGUAGAAUGGGGGCGUUGUAAUUAAUAUCCUCCGACAUUGGAGGAUACAGGGGAGAGUUGCCAGAGGAAGAGGAGAUGGAGGAUGGGGCGAAGUAAAGACGAAGAUUGAAGAGAACUAACUUAUGGCCUGAUGACAGGGUGGAUGGCGAUGGAGGCAUGGAGGUUGGGGGAGAGGAGGCUGAAGAAGUGGAGACAAAUCAGUUUAGAUUCAUUAUGUUGAUUAGUUUAAUAUUUAUUUUGUACAUCAGUAUAGGCCUACUUUUAUUUACAUUUUUUUCUCAUUUAGAUUAUUAAAUUCAGAUAAUUUUAUUGUUUUUAUGAAAAUGUUUUCUUAAAUUUUUAAUAUUUGUUUGUACUUCUGCCUGUUAAAAAAAUAUACUGUCUAUUAAGUUUGUUAAAAUGAUUACUUUCACUAACUGACCUUGUCUUGGGUGAAAAGAGACAUCUUGAUAUUUAACUAGCAGGGUGCCUGUUCUAUAGGCGGGGAUCGUAUAAGUCAGUUGAAACCUUCUUAUAUUUUGAUACUUAGUAAAUUAAUCAUUUACAACUUUAUAUAGUAUAGAUCGCUAUUCCUGUAUUGAUGUACUGAAAUGAAUAAAAU